UAGUCGGUGAAAGUCCGACCGGGAGAAAAGACUCCACUCCCGUAGCCUGAGAGGCAUCGUGGAGCGAAAAGCGAGACGGUGGAGCCCUCUGACAUCACGUUCGUAAGGAGCGUGGGCAAAACUCCAGGUUGUAACGUAC
rnacentral:ncRNA from 1 species